GCAAUGAUGGUUUAGUGGCAGAAUUCUUGCCUUCCAUGAGGAAGACCUAGGUUCAAUUCCUGGCCAAUGCA
rnacentral:tRNA from 1 species